AUGGAUCUUGCAAUAUCUGCCGUUACAGGUGACCUCGCCAGCCGAUUCAUCUCUUUUCUCAUGAACAAAUACACGGAUCAUGUAUGCUCAGAGGAGAAGGCGGAGAGGCUACAACAACUCUUGUUGAGAGUUCACACGGUCGUCGAGGAGGCGGACGGACGAUGCAUCACCAACUCUUGUAUGCUCAUGCAGUUGAAGCAGCUAUCGUCAGCCAUGUACCAAGGGUACCAUGUGUUGGACAACGUCAGGUACAAGCAACAUAAGGAGGCAUCCAAGGACUUGGUGAGCGAUUCAUCUACCUCGUCCGAUUAUAUCAUUCCUUUCAAACGUGCUCGGACAGCCUAUUCUUCGACAAACAAGGCCUCCAACUCGGGAUUACAAAGUGCACUUGAGAAUCUGGAAGGUGCUGUUACUGACAUGGUGGAGUUUGUUGUGCUUUUGGGCGGAUGCGAGCGCAUCUCCCGGAGACCGUAUGAUGCCUAUCUUCAGGUCGACAACUUCAUGUUUGGUCGGCAUGUCGAGAAGCAGAAGAUCAUCAACUUCUUGCUGCAAGAGAACAUACCUGGUCCUCCGGCAGUGCUACCAGUCGUUGGUGGACGUGGAGUUGGGAAGAAAACUCUUGUUGCACAUGUAUGCAGGUAUGACAGGGUGCGUUCUCACUUUGCAGUUAUUUUGCACCUGAACGGAGACGGUCUUACGAGAAUAACAUACCAUGAAAUUCCGUCAGGGAGGAACGGAGACGGUCUUACGAGAAUAACAUACCAUGAAAUUCCGUCAGGGAGGACACUGGUAGUUGUCGAGUUUGCUUCCGAUGUAGAUGAUGAUGACUGGAAAAUAUUUUAUUCAUCUGUUACGUGCAUGGACAGAGGAAACAAAGUGAUAAUCUUAGGCCGAAAUGAAAGCUUGAAGAAACUUGGGACUGUCCAGAGUAUAUCUCUGAACCGUCUGGCAUUCGAGGAGUACAGGUACCUGCUCAAGACGCUCGCAUUCGGAAGCCUGAAGCCAGGAGACCAUCCGUGGUUAGCAACGAUAGUGGAAGAGUUCGCUGUGGUGUUGGAAGGAUCACUUGUUUCAGCUAACUUGCUUGGAUAUGCAGUGAGAAACAAUCUAAAUGCCCAUUUCUGGCUUAGCACAUUGAACAAGAUCAGAAUCACAAGGAAGAUGAUCAUGUCCAGGUUUGGCUGCCAUCCAAAUGGCCUUUUCGAUCAAGACCGUCCGGUGCACUUUGGCUCUCACCACCUCUUGUCUCCUGCUGCUCGCCUUAUACCCUCUGCUAGCUGUCUGGAUAGUAGUCUACCCAAAGUCAUAUUCGGGGACGUACUAGCAGAACCAGGCCAUAUUGCUCCAACGAAGGGAGAUUUUAGGCUGAUCUCUUGGGAAUCAAGGUUACCACCAUAUACUGCGUUUGUUCAUCUGUCUCGCUUUGUUCCAAGUUGUGUGGAUGAUAAGCCUGAAGCACCCUUGUCAGGGAGGAAGCGUCUGGGGCCAUCUGCGUAG
rnacentral:rRNA from 1 species